GCUCUCUUAGUAAAAAUAAUACUAAUGACUUCCACUCAUUUAAUCUUAGAUCCACCUAAGAGAGAGCA
rnacentral:tRNA from 1 species